UGUAUGUAUCGCCGAGAUCCACCAGCGAGCCGAUCGCCCCCUUCGGUCUUCCUCGGCUCGGGAACGAAGGUGAGCAAGCCUCUUCUUUCAGCGAAACGUAUGGACUUUAGGGCUGAUCAUGUCCCCCUGUAUGCCAAUUAGGUCGGACCUUUCCACAACCCCAGGUGAUUUCCUUUCGAUUCUUGCGUCAUUAUCGGUUUCGAAUUCCUCCUUCGUCGCUGAAUUUGCUAUUUAGGUUCGUGUUUUGCGCAUCAUUUGAAGCGAAUAGAUCUUUGUCUGUGUCCCUUUCUUUUCUUCAAGAAUGCGAUCAUCUGUUUGCUUGUUUUGUGAUUUAGAAUGAACGCAGGAUCAUGAUUCGCUUUUGUAGUUUAAUUUUAUUUCUCUUAGUCGGUGGUUUUUGUUUUAUCGAUAGAAAUACCGAAGUCUCCAUUAAGCGUCAUUCAAAGCUAAAAAUCGUCUUUGAUUUCGCAUGCUUCGUGUUUUCGUCGCUCCGAUCGUUCACUGUUUUGUAAGCUUAUUUUGAUUCGCGUGGAUAGUUGCUUUUUCAUUAAAUAAGUCAAAUUCCGCAUUCAAGAUUAGGGAUUUGUGAUCUUGGAUCAUUUGCAUGCUUCUUGAUUUCUGAGUCCGAUCAAGCAAAGCUAAUUUUUGAGUGCUUCAUGUUUUAGUAGUGUUUCCGAUCCUUUACCAUCGAUUGUUAUUUUGGUUUCUCAAUAGUUUCUUUUAUGAAAAACCAAACUCUAUUAAAUCUCAGGGAUUUUAUACUUUGGUGUGCUUCACAUUGUAGUGGUAUCAGUUCUGCUGGUUGGAUUGUGAGCCAGGCCCUGUUAAUUCUGCUGCCUUUGACCCUGUCUUUGGCAUUCUAAUGAUGCUCUUGUUUUAGGAUAUUUAUCAUUUACUUUUAACAUUUCAGUGUUUCUUGAAUGUGACAGUCAUUUUCCCUUUUGCAUCUGCAGCGAGACAUAUCGUUCCUAUGACUUGCCAUUCUGCUCACCAGAGCAUGUUACCGAAAAGACGGAAGCCCUUGGGGAAGAAGUUCUAAAUGGUGAUCGUUUGGUCGAUGCACAGUACGAAUUAUAUUUUCUGGAGGAGCAGCAGUCAAAAGUCUCUUUGUCAAAAAAAACAUGUCAAAAGAAGAUGUUGCAAAGUUCAGACAUGCUGCUGUAUCAAAGGACUAUUACUUAUGAUCUGCCUUCAUGGGGUUUGAUGGGCAAGAUUGAGGGGGUCAUUCGGGCAAAGACAAGUACUUUAUCUUUAAACACAUCCACUUCAAUAUCCUUUACGAUGAUGAUCGGGUCAUAGAGAUCAAUGUACAAACAUACCCCAAUAUUAAUGUGGAUAUCUCGGAGGAUAGGGAAUUGGAUGUUGAGUUUUUUUUUUUUUUGUGACAUGGAAAAAGGCUGAUGUAUCUUUUGAAGAAAGGAUGGCAAAGUACUCAAGAAGGACAUCCUCUAUGCCCCAACAUUUAGAGAUUCAUUGGUUCUUAAUUGUUAAUUCAUGUGUGAACUGGAUUUCUUGC